rnacentral:rRNA from 1 species
CGGUGUUUAACUGGCGUGAUGUGGGACGUCCUACCGGUGGGCUUAACCUCGCGAGGGGCGGCCCAACUAAUAUCCCGUCGCGGUGCUCUUUACUGAGUGUCGAGUCGGGCCGGUACGUUUACUUUGAACAAAUUAGAGUGCUUAAAGCAGGCUAUCCUCGCCUGAAUACUGCGUGCAUGGAAUAAUGGAAUAGGACCUCGGUUCUAUUUUGUUGGUUUUCGGAACCCCGAGGUAAUGAUUAAUAGGGACAGAUGGGGGCAUUCGUAUUGCGACGUUAGAGGUGAAAUUCUUGGAUCGUCGCAAGACGGACAGAAGCGAAAGCAUUUGCCAAAAAUGUUUUCAUUAAUCAAGAACGAAAGUUAGAGGUUCGAAGGCGAUCAGAUACCGCCCUAGUUCUAACCAUAAACGAUGCCAGCUAGCGAUCCGCCGAAGUUCCUCCGAUGACUCGGCGGGCAGCUUCCGGGAAACCAAAGCUUUUGGGUUCCGGGGGAAGUAUGGUUGCAAAGCUGAAACUUAAAGGAAUUGACGGAAGGGCACCACCAGGAGUGGAGCCUGCGGCUUAAUUUGACUCAACACGGGAAACCUCACCAGGCCCAGACACCGGAAGGAUUGACAGAUUGAUAGCUCUUUCUUGAUUCGGUGGGUGGUGGUGCAUGGCCGUUCUUAGUUGGUGGAGCGAUUUGUCUGGUUAAUUCCGAUAACGAACGAGACUCUAGCCUGCUAAAUAGGCGUACCUUAUGGUAUCGCGAAGGCCCCCGGCUUCGGCCGGUGGGUUUUUACUACCAACGUACAAACAAAUCUUCUUAGAGGGACAGGCGG